GGUGGCUCUGGGUUCAUGAGGAGUGGUGGCAAGUGUCCCAUAUUCCCUAAUCAUCCCUGGAGGGUACUUAAGAUGGAGGCUGCCAGCAGUUCAGCGCCAGAGUGUUGCCCAUAGUGACUGGAUUCCUAUGCCUGACCUUGUCUUUGAAGAAUCCUCAUCAACUUGAAUGUUUUUGUCACUGGAGAACGAUUUCCUAGCCACGUGGAUUAUACCUGGAUUGCCAACACUUUGCUUCCUAAGUUAUUGGCUGGCGGCUAUUCCGACGGUGCCUUUCCUGGAACAACUACGGACCUCCACAACCGAACCCUGUCCACCCUUCCACACAAUAACAUCAUCAGCCGAACCUCAGCAUACCUCAAAGUGAGUCCAAGUACCUACCAGCUCCAUUCAUCUCAGUGUGCAGUUCCAUUGUUGUCUCACCCCCCUCCUGGCAGAUCAAACUCCACUCCCUAUUGUCUUCCGGUUCCAGCUCCACUUCCCUUCACCUGCUCACUGUAAAAUAAAAC